CCACAUCCUGAUUUUUCAAAUAAAAUAAAUUAUUUUUUAAGUGAGCUAUAUUAACAUCUAACAUCCUGAUUCCAUCUAAGCGCAGUCCCUCCCACUUCUCUCCUCCUCUUCUUUCUUUUAACUUCAAAAAUUCCUUCCAAGGUGAUGUUAGCCUCCAAGGUGGAGGAUCUUAUUGGUCUUAGGAUCCUCUGGCAUCCAAGCAGGUCUCAUAUCGCAUCAUAACUCCUAUACACUGUCAGAUAGCUAAGAUCUUGCAAGAAAGUCUCAUCCGAUUGACAAGAUCUUCGGC
rnacentral:lncRNA from 1 species